GUGGAUCUUACCACCCUUCAUCGUCUGCUGGCCCUGGCAACCUUGGGCAGUUUCCCUGACCAGUAUACAGAGGCAGAUCUGGACAGCAUUGAAGAACAUCUCCCCAGGGAGAACCUUAGUGUCAAGCAGAACAGCAAGAAGGAAACGCUGUUGCAGAGGUUCUAUCAGCAAGUCUGCAACCACCUGCAUAUGUUCAUCCUGCUUGGAGAUGACCAGACCCACAGACAGCUGCCCUCCACCCUUUUCCUGAGGCUUCUUCAACUGGCCAUUGCUAGCAUUGACCGCUAUGAACCCUGGGACCAAGACUCCCUGAUCAGUGUGGUCCGGUACUACCUGGAAAGCGCUCAGAAUCUAUCCAUUGAUGAUGACUCCUUGAAGUGCCCAGACCUCCGGGCGUCAAUUCCCA